AUGAUAGCUCAGAGUGUGAUCUCUCAAAAUAGAUUCCAAUCUUAUGUUGCUCUGGGUCAGCCAAGAUGGCUCUCUUUUUUGUUUCAGUUAGAACGUGACGGUAGAUAGUUUCAAAGUUUUUGUGUACUUGGUUGUUAUACUUUUGUUUAUAAUGAAAAGACCAGAUGGAAAAAAAAAAAAAAGCUUAUACAAGUAAAACUAAAAAUGGUUGCUGUUCCUUAAUGGAAGUCUCCAGAUCCGACCAAAACCAACAAAGCUUUGAGUUGUUCGGUUUUGUCUUUUUAUUGUGUCGAUACGAUCUCAGACCCAUAACCAAUAGAUCCCCCGAAACAGUAACACUCGUCUUUUUUUCUCAUCAAACCAAGAAAAUAAAAUCACCUGAUGUCUGCCGAGCGUGCGCUCACGCUCCAUGACCAGCUUCCACGUGUUAACGGGGACCCAUGGUCUAUAGUUUAUGGGACCCGAGUGGUUAACCGGAAACGACGGAU
rnacentral:lncRNA from 1 species